rnacentral:pre_miRNA from 12 species
UAAUAAUUCCGGUAAGAUAUGUUUGAUAUUCUUGGUUGUUGCAUUUAAAGGUUCACCCAGGAAUCAAACAUAUUAUUACUGAGAUUGUUA